GUGGCCAUAAGUUAAUGGUAGACUGUUCGUCUUCCAAACGAAGUGUGUCGAUUCGAUUUCGACUGGCCACA